AGGGCACCACCAGGAGUGGAGCCUGCGGCUUAAUUUGACUCAACACGGGAAAACUCACCCGGCCCGGACACUGAAAGGAUUGACAGAUUGAGAGCUCUUUCUUGAUUCAGUGGGUGGUGGUGCAUGGCCGUUCUUAGUUGGUGGAGCGAUUUGUCUGGUUAAUUCCGAUAACGAACGAGACUCUAGCCUACUAAAUAGAUCGCCGGUUUACAAACACCGGUGAGACUUCUUAGAGGGACAGGCGGCGAUUCAGCCGCACGAAACAGAGCAAUAACAGGUCUGUGAUGCCCUUAGAUGUCCGGGGCCGCACGCGCGCUACACUGAAGUGAUCAGCGUGCAUUUUAAGCCUACUCUGCCAAGAGUGGGAAACCCAAUGAACCUUCUUCGUGAUUGGGAUAGGGGAUUGUAAUUAUUCCCCUUGAACGAGGAAUUCCCAGUAAGCGCGAGUCAUAAGCUCGCGUUGAUUACGUCCCUGCCCUUUGUACACACCGCCCGUCGCUACUACCGAUUGAAUGAUUU
rnacentral:rRNA from 1 species